CGAUGUGAGGGCCAUCUGCCUGUGACACCCGUCACCACACUGAUCUCCAGGCUUGAGUCAACCCAUGUGCCUGCCCAAGCCCAGGUCCCCUUCCUCACCCAGCGCUCCAUAUGCAUCCCUCCCAAAGCUGCUGGGGCACAGAGGACGACCUCCCCGAUACAGACAGUGCAUUUUAUCACACGAGGCUAUUUGGGCGGCUGCACUCCCUGCCACAACUUCCCAACCAGCCCAAGGAACUAGAUCUGCACUUCUAGGAGGGCUUUCCCGGUAGUCAUAAAUAAAAUUUUGCACAAAAGAAAAUUGAAAUAGGGUGUGAAAAU
rnacentral:snRNA from 1 species